rnacentral:rRNA from 1 species
GAUGAACGCUAGCUACAGGCUUAACACAUGCAAGUCGAGGGGAAACGAUAUUGGAAGCUUGCUUCCGAUAGGCGUCGACCGGCGCACGGGUGAGUAACGCGUAUCCAACCUGUCCAUCACUUGGGGAUAACCUUGCGAAAGUAAGACUAAUACCCAAUGAUAUCUCAAGAAGACAUCUGAAUGAGAUUAAAGAUUUACCGGUGAUGGAUGGGGAUGCGUCUGAUUAGCUUGUUGGCGGGGUAACGGCCCACCAAGGCGACGAUCAGUAGGGGUUCUGAGAGGAAGGUCCCCCACAUUGGAACUGAGACACGGUCCAAACUCCUACGGGAGGCAGCAGUGAGGAAUAUUGGUCAAUGGGCGAGAGCCUGAACCAGCCAAGUAGCGUGCAGGAUGACGGCCCUAUGGGUUGUAAACUGCUUUUAUAAGGGAAUAAAGUGAGCCUCGUGAGGCUUUUUGCAUGUACCUUAUGAAUAAGGACCGGCUAAUUCCGUGCCAGCAGCCGCGGUAA